ensembl:lncRNA
GAGCCACGACAGGAACUCCCUCUUGCCCCCUUUCUGUUCCCCAUCUAACUGCACUUCUGAUUUAUUCUCUUCUCCUGAACUGGCAUGGUCUAUUCUGACAUGGAAAUUUGUUCAUGUAUUCCUCUACUAAAAGCCCUUCAAGGAUGAAGCCCAAACCACUGCCUCACAAAGCCCUGCUUGUCCAGCCCCUGUCCAGUUUUCCACACUCCUUACUCCACCCCCAGCUGACCACAUGCCAUAGCUGGGCUGGACUUUGUAAUCCUCAGUGCAUGUUGCCGUGGUCUGGGCUCUGGACUUUUGCAUUUCGCACUUCCUCUUCUGCAGUCUUUUCUUUACCUUGUUAAUUCCUGCUCAUCCCCGGGGCUCAUCUUACAGUCACAUCUUCUGGAAGGCUUCCUUGAUCUUCCAAAUCUAAUCAGGUGUCCCUGAUGGACUUCUCAUGGCUCCUGGACUUAGCAGUUACCCCUGCUGCAGUAGCCAAAGCCUGUUGCUUUCUUUGUCCCUCCACCAUCUCUAAGCUCACUGGGCCCAUGGUCAGUGCAGCUCAUCCAGGUUUUCUCAGCACCUAAUAUGGCCCUUGCCUCAAUAAGUCACAUUCUAAAGUUUCGCUAAAUUAGACUUUCUCAGGGUUUAAGAAGAUGCUUAUCAGGUUAUCUUAGGUGACUGGAGUCUAUCGAAAGGAUCUCAACCACACAGAGACAACUGGAGGAUUCCUCAGAGCUCUAAAGGGAAGAUGAAUCAUCAAGAAGGACUCUGCAGCAGGGGGUGGGGGGUGGGGAGCGUUGACCAUCGUGGGGAAAGAUGAAUGGGUGUUCUCCAAGAGACCAAGGUAGGGAAGAGGGUGUUGCCUAAGCCAACUGGCUGCUCACAGUUGUCAGGUUAUUUUGUUAAACAUUAUCAGGAGUAGUUGAGAAAGCUACAGCCUCUGUGACAGGUGGUAGGUUACCAUGAAAGCAAGUCCUUGACUUCUGCCACUCGCAGAGCCGGUGUUAGCAGGCAGGUGCAGAAAGAGUCCCGCCAUCUGCUUGGAAAAGUUCGAUGACGUCUCCACUACUGUUCUUGUUGGUGCUCCAUUGAGACCCUUCCCAGCAUUUCACUCUGAAGGUCAUCAUGUGAUAGUCCUCUGUGGGCAGAAUCACCGGAGUUUAUCAUCAGGCUCAGUGGCAGAUUCUGCUGUUAACUGGCGGGACUACAGGCAUAUGGGUCCCACCACCAAAGCACCACUCAGAGGUUGUAGGCAGCUGAUUCCCUGGGAUUCUAACAGCUCAUCCGCCAAGGACAGAGGUAGCUGUGCGAUCCUUUCUAAUCAACUUAUCUUAAAAAUCUUUUGCUCAACAUCACUAAUUAUUAGAGAAAUGCAAAUCAAAACUGUAAUGAGGUAUCACCUCACACCAAUCAGAACAGCCAUCAUUAUUAAGUCUACAGAUAACAAACGCUAGAGAAGUGUGGAGAAAAGGGAACCCUCCUACACUGUUAGUGGGAAUGUGAGUGUAAGUUGGUGCAACUAGUAUGGAAAACAGUGUGGAGGUUCCUCAGAAAACUAAACAUAGAACUAUCAUAUGAUCUAGUAGUGCCACUUCUGGGCAUCUAUCCAGACAAAAUUACAAUCCAAAAGGAAAAAAAAAAAAAA